rnacentral:tRNA from 1 species
GAGGAUAUAGCUCUAGUGGUAGAGCGUAUGCUUAGCAUGCAUGAGGUCCUGGGUUCAAUCCCCAGUACCUCCU